rnacentral:tRNA from 2 species
GCGCUCGUAGCUCAGUUGGAUAGAGCAACGGCCUUCUAAGCCGUAGGUCUCAGGUUCGAAUCCUGACGGGCGUACCA